rnacentral:piRNA from 1 species
UGGUAUUACACAGGGCCUGAUGGGUUU